rnacentral:rRNA from 1 species
AGCGAACGCUGGCGGCAGGCCCAACACAUGCCAGUCGAACGAACUCUUCGGAGUUAGUGGCGGACGGGUGAGUAACACGUGGGAACGUGCCUUUUGGUUCGGAAUAACUCAGGGAAACUUGUGCUAAUACCGAAUGUGCCCUUCGGGGGAAAGAUUUAUCGCCAUUAGAGCGACCCGCGUCUGAUUAGCUAGUUGGUGAGGUAACGGCUCACCAAGGCGACGAUCAGUAGCUGGUCUGAGAGGAUGACCAGCCACACUGGGACUGAGACACGGCCCAGACUCCUACGGGAGGCAGCAGUGGGGAAUCUUGCGCAAUGGGCGAAAGCCUGACGCAGCCAUGCCGCGUGAAUGAUGAAGGUCUUAGGAUUGUAAAAUUCUUUCACCGGGGACGAUAAUGACGGUACCCGGAGAAGAAGCCCCGGCUAACUUCGUG